rnacentral:rRNA from 1 species
GAGUCAUUGGGACUCUGUUAAACCUAAAGGCGCAAUGAAAGUAAAGGUCCGCCUCGCGCGGACCGAGGGAGGAUGGGCUCGUCCACGGACGUGCCCCGCACUCCCGGGGCGUCUCGUUCUCAUCGCGAGAAGAGGCGCACCCAGAGCGUACACGCUGGGACCCGAAAGAUGGUGAACUAUGCCUGGUCAGGACGAAGUCAGGGGAAACCCUGAUGGAGGUCCGUAGCGAUUCUGACGUGCAAAUCGAUCGUCGGAACUGGGUAUAGG